GGGCCAGUGGCGCAAUGGAUAACGUACCUGACUACAGAUUAGGAGAUUCCAGGUUCGACUUCUGGCUGGCUCA